rnacentral:lncRNA from 1 species
GUGACAACCAGGUGCUGCUUUUGAGGGCAGCACCUGCCUUUAGCUGGGUGCAGAACAGAAUGAAGGGCGGUUUCCAGCCUGGUGCCAAUCCCUGCCUCCCCAGCCUCCUUCUCUUUGCUUCUGUCGCCUUCCGGGCUCCCUGGGGAGCAGGAGAAGGUGGGAGGAGAGCUGAGAGCCACCGGGCCCAAAGGUGAUUCCAGCCCAGAGGACCUUCCUCCACAGCUAUGUCCACUUCUGGCU